GUCCCCUUCACCAGCGGAGGAUACCGCUGGGUUCUCAAGUACUACCCCAACGGCUCUUGCCCGGAGACCGCCGAUUUUAUAUCCAUUCUCGUUUCCCUCGACCAGGAGAUCCUGCGGCCCAUGAAGGUGCUGCUCAAGUUUUCUUCCAAGCUUCAGUAUUUCUCAUUGAACCAGGUUGUUCCGACACCCCUUGCCGAAGCCCGAACGUCUGUCUUCUCUAGCGGUCGUAUGGUUCUGGGGUUUGACAAACUUAUCAAAAGAAUUGACUUUGAAAAGUCACGCCUCAUGGGAAAUAAUCAUAUCACCAUACAAUGUGACAUCAAUGUCGUCGCGGACACCAGCGUCCCCACACCGCUUCUUGAAGAGGUCCCACCAUCUGAUAUACGACAGCAUAUUGCUGAUCUCUUGUUGAGCAAGGAAGGUGCUGAUGUGACAUUCCAGGUUGGUGGUGAGAAGUUCACUGCCCACCGGUGCAUACUUGCUGCCCGAUCUGCUGUCUUCAAGGCGGAGCUCUUUGGCUCCAUGAAGGAGGGCGGCACUGCAUAUGUCAUACAGAUAAUUGACAUGGAAUCAAAAGUGUUUGGUGCCAUGCUUAGUUUCAUCUACACUGACUCGUUGCCCAAGAUGGAGACAUAUAGCAUGGACGAAGGAGAGGUGGAGGAAGGCAAAGGAGAAGAAUCAAUGUGGCUGCAAUCCUUGCUUGUCGCGGCAGAUAGAUAUGAUAUUCUGAGAAUGAAAUUGAUAUGCGAAAACAAGUUGCGGGAGUGCAUUGACGUGACCACGGUGUCUGGCAUUCUAACUCUAGCUGAGCAGCACAAUUGCCCUGGGCUGAAGGAGGCAUGCUUGGAGUUCCUCAAAAUUCCUACAAAUUUAGAGAAAGUAUUGAUG
rnacentral:rRNA from 1 species